GAGAGGAAGUGAGGUGAAUGAUGCAGGCAUUGUGACAUAGCGUUGGCUACUAUUGACCUUCUGCCCAUCUGCCAGAAGGAGGGUCAUCUGCUUCUAGACCGGGGUUGACCACAGGUCUAACUAAAACCACCGAGAGUGAAGCCACAGGUCAGGGGAACUGCUUCAAUCCAGAAUACUGAGGCUGCGGGUUGCCUUGCCAGAAUAAAGUUCAUACUUCUAGCAUGAAAAUCAAGGUUCUUCCUUAUCUGGCUUCAACCACCUGUCCUGUUGGAGUCUAACUUACAGAGACUCAAGGCUGGGAAUUGUACCGCCAUCCUGCCACCAUCAUGACUGCGUCUGGGACGGCCUGAGAAGUGUCCAGUCUACCUGCAGAAAAACCAAAUCCCCUUGAUCUUCGUUUCAACUAUCGGGAUUAGAGAAGAACACUGUACACAGCAACGAUUCACUAGGAGCCUAUUGACCUGAAUCUGUGGUCAUGAGACACAGUUCAGUCUUCAUCUGUCCCGAAUUAUCAAAAUAACUGUGUGCCUAGCAUGGUGCCUUAUGUAAGAUAGAAGAUAACGGAAAGAGUGAAUGGGUGUUAAUCAAUAUUAAAGCAAGAUCACUAUCUUCAUCUUUGAAACUCAAGAAUCUCACACACAAAAUGGUAAUAAUAAAAUCUAUAGUCUUUUUUUUUUUUGAGGCA
rnacentral:lncRNA from 1 species